rnacentral:lncRNA from 1 species
UUCAAUUUUAACAAGUUCUUCCUGCAAAUGAGCAUUUCCUGAGACUAUCAGAGCACCUGAGAACAGCUCCAUCAGCCACGUCAAAUGCUUCACAGCGGCAGUCAAUUACAUUCGAGCAUAUUUAAGAUGAGCAGAGUCAGACGUUAGUUUUCUCUCCACUCGCUUCAGGUGAAGCAGUUCAGAAACUUAUGGCCACCGGCUGCUGUUUGCCCCAGGAAAGAGCUUAAAAGCAGAACAACCUCUUCCCCAAAUAACGACCAUAUGUAAAGCACUGCGCAGCAGAUCCGUCCUGCAAACUGCUUAGCGCUCUCAGGGGUGCAGUAAGUUGUGCCAGGAAGCUUUUCUGCCAUCUUCAGUUGAAAUCUAAGCUACAAGUUGAAGAUCAGCCCCCAGCCAACAGCACAUCUUCUCGAAACAAAUGAUUGUUUUCCUCACUCGACAAAGCAAUAAUGAGACAAGAAACCAGAUCCUGGGCAUACAGUUCUAAGGAACAUCAAACAAGAAAAAUACAACCAAGUUCUUCCGCCAUGGAGCAGAUCCCCACAAAAUCCAGCUGCAGAGCAGGGCCAUGGCUUAUCUCUCCAUGCCUUCACCAUUGGAGUGUUCCCAGAGUGGUUCAUGAAAACCCAUAA